rnacentral:rRNA from 1 species
GUAGGGGGCCAGCGUUGUUCGGAAUUACUGGGUGUAAAGGGUUCGUAGGCGGUGCGGCAAGUUGGGAGUGAAAUCUCUGGGCUUAACCCAGAGGCUGCUUCCAAAACUGCUGUGCUUGAGUGUGGGAGAGGCGCGUGGAAUUGCAGGUGUAGCGGUGAAAUGCGUAGAUAUCUGCAGGAACACCCGUGGCGAAAGCGGCGCGCUGGACCACAACUGACGCUGAGGAACGAAAGCUAGGGGAGCAAACAGGAUUAGAUACCCUGGUAGUCCUAGCCCUAAACGAUCAGGACUUGGGGUGCCGCCCGUUCGGGCGUCGUCCCGGAACUAACGCGUUAAGUCCUGCACCUGGGGAGUACGGUCGCAAGACUG